rnacentral:rRNA from 1 species
AUUGAACGCUGGCGGCAUGCCUUACACAUGCAAGUCGAACGGUAACGGGUCCUUCGGGAUGCCGACGAGUGGCGAACGGGUGAGUAAUAUAUCGGAACGUGCCCAGUAGUGGGGGAUAACUGCUCGAAAGAGCAGCUAAUACCGCAUACGACCUGAGGGGGAAAGGGGGGGAUCGCAAGACCUUCCGCUAUUGGAGCGGCCGCUAUCAGAUUAGCUAGUUGGUGGGGUAAAGGCCUACCAAGGCCACGAUCUGUAGUUGGUCUGAGAGGACGACCAGCCACACUGGGACUGAGACACGGCCCAGACUCCUACGGGAGGCAGCAGUGGGGAAUUUUGGACAAUGGGCGCAAGCCUGAUCCAGCAAUGCCGCGUGCAGGAAGAAGGCCUUCGGGUUGUAAACUGCUUUUGUCAGGGAAGAAAUCUUCUGGGCUAAUACCCCGGGAGGAUGACGGUACCUGAAGAAUAAGCACCGGCUAACUACGUGCCAGCCGCCGCCGUAA